rnacentral:rRNA from 1 species
GACGAACGCUGGCGGCGUGCUUAACACAUGCAAGUCGAACGGAUCCUUUGGGGUUAGUGGCGAACGGGUGAGUAACACGUGGGUGAUCUGCCCUGCACUUUGGGAUAAGCCUGGGAAACUGGGUCUAAUACCGGAUAGGACUACGCACUGCAUGGUGUGUGGUGGAAAGCUUUUGCGGUGUGGGAUGGGCCCGCGGCCUAUCAGCUUGUUGGUGGGGUGAUGGCCUACCAAGGCGACGACGGGUAGCCGGCCUGAGAGGGUGACCGGCCACACUGGGACUGAGAUACGGCCCAGACUCCUACGGGAGGCAGCAGUGGGGAAUAUUGCACAAUGGGCGCAAGCCUGAUGCAGCGACGCCGCGUGAGGGAUGACGGCCUUCGGGUUGUAAACCUCUUUCGCCAGGGACGAAGCGCAAGUGACGGUACCUGGAGAAGAAGGACCGGCCAACUACGUGCCAGCAGCCGCGGUAAUACGUAGGGUCCGAGCGUUGUCCGGAAUUACUGGGCGUAAAGAGCUCGUAGGUGGUUUGUCGCGUUGUUCGUGAAAACUCACAGCUUAACUGUGGGCGUGCGGGCGAUACGGGCAGACUGGAGUACUGCAGGGGAGACUGGAAUUCCUGGUGUAGCGGUGGAAUGCGCAGAUAUCAGGAGGAACACCGGUGGCGAAGGCGGGUCUCUGGGCAGUAACUGACGCUGAGGAGCGAAAGCGUGGGGAGCGAACAGGAUUAGGUACCCUGGUAGUCCACGCCGUAAACGGUGGGUACUAGGUGUGGGUUUCCUUCCUUGGGAUCCGUGCCGUAGCUAACGCAUUAAGUACCCCGCCUGGGGAGUACGGCCGCAAGGCUAAAACUCAAAGGAAUUGACGGGGGCCCGCACAAGCGGCGGAGCAUGUGGAUUAAUUCGAUGCAACGCGAAGAACCUUACCUGGGUUUGACAUGCACAGGACGCCGGCAGAGAUGUCGGUUCCCUUGUGGCCUGUGUGCAGGUGGUGCAUGGCUGUCGUCAGCUCGUGUCGUGAGAUGUUGGGUUAAGUCCCGCAACGAGCGCAACCCUUGUCUCAUGUUGCCAGCACGUUAUGGUGGGGACUCGUGAGAGACUGCCGGGGUCAACUCGGAGGAAGGUGGGGAUGACGUCAAGUCAUCAUGCCCCUUAUGUCCAGGGCUUCACACAUGCUACAAUGGCCGGUACAAAGGGCUGCGAUGCCGUGAGGUGGAGCGAAUCCUUUCAAAGCCGGUCUCAGUUCGGAUCGGGGUCUGCAACUCGACCCCGUGAAGUCGGAGUCGCUAGUAAUCGCAGAUCAGCAACGCUGCGGUGAAUACGUUCCCGGGCCU